rnacentral:tRNA from 1 species
GUGCCUGUAGCUCAAUCGGCAGAGCUCCGCCCUGUGGAGGCGGCUGUUGUGGGUUCAAGUCCCAUCAGGCACCCCU